UAAUAUAUGCAAGUACAGCUCGGCUCAGUUUUAACUAAUUUCUUGCGGUGUGAAUCCCCACUUCAUCAUGUAUAUGAAAUAUUUCUGCGUUCAGCAGGUCUUUCUGCUGCUUUAAGCUUCAUGUAUCGUCAAAGUAUUUCAAGGCUUCGAAACAGCGAACCAAACCAAGGUGACUCCCUCCUGCACAGGCGACCAGUAGACUCCAAGUAGCCAGCAGUUUACGUGUGUCGGUUUGUGUUUCUUCUCGAACAUUUAUUAGUAGCCGAGGUAAAACAGAGCGGUGAGUGCGCGGCUUGGUGCGGCAGUCCGGGUGACUUAAUUGGCGAGGCGGAGUGCCGCUGGCGUGUGUAGGUGGAGCGAUGACCUUUGCUGGUUGACCUGGAACACACAGCAGCCGAGAGAUGAGUGGAGAAGAUAAGGGGAGGUCUUUGUCCGGUAAUGGAGUCAUAGAGGCUGCUGCUGGCGAUGACGAGACAGACGCAGGCAGUAACCCACAUGGCGGGAAUGAGGUCAAGCUAUUGAGUGAUAAGAAAGGCGACUUUGUGACGGGAAGCAAGAGUGCCGGAAUGAAGCUCGCGCGGGUUACGGCUGGGCAUAACAAUAACGGUGACCGGCGCCGCCCUGGUAAUGGAAGGUAGUUAUUGUAAGUUUAAUGAGGGUAGUUGUAAUAAACAUGACGGUGUCUGUAAUGGUGAUGAGCGUGAUAAAGGUAGUCAUGAUGGUGGUGAUGGCAAUGAUGGUGAUGGUGAUACUCUUUUAUAAUGUUAUGCUAAAAUUUGUAACUACUGCAAUUACGAAAUUUGUGGAUUUAUGGGUGUAAAAUGUAUGGAAUUAAAACGGCUGGUUUACUGAAUCAAGUACAGUAUCUAGGCGAUAGAAGAUAAAUGAUGAUAGGUGAGGCCUUUAUGGGCCAUGGCUCCUGCUCAGGCUCGGUGAAACUCUCUGGUGCACGUGUGGAGGAAGACUUCAGACACCGCUGACAGCGAGAGGAGCGAUCAAGGAGCUGAAACACUGCGGUGCCUGGGGCUGUGCUUGUGUUAAGUAAAAUCGUCUUAUUCACGUUAAAUAACUAAUAUCAUGUUUUCAUUGGCAGUCAUUAUCACAAAACGUUAACUCACGUUCGCAGUUACUUACACAGACCAAGUUUUAAUUUAAGGGACUGCUCUGAGAGAGAG